rnacentral:snoRNA from 1 species
UUUGAUGGAAACGCCUCAUGCAGUAAUUGUGUGGUUUUGCUUUACUCACAGGGCUAUUUCUUAGGUCUAUGGGAAGUAACUACAAGACAGUU